rnacentral:snRNA from 1 species
AUACUUACCUGGCGCAGGGGAUACCGUGAUCAUGCAGGCGGUUCCCCCAGGGCGAGGCUGCUCCAUUGCACUGCGGAGUGGUUGACCCAUGCGAUUAUUUUUAUUUAUAUCAAUAAAAAAAUCUUAAUAAAAAAUGUAUACUAUUGUAUACCCGAAUAAUUAUUUUCUUUAUA